rnacentral:lncRNA from 1 species
GGUCAAACUGUGCCACCCAGGCUAGUCUUGAACUUAUGACCCCCUCCCUGUCUGUGGGAUCACAAGUAGAACUAAAGCAUUUUAGGGCAUUUCGAGUUCUCCUGACCCAUGCCACUUAACCUUUGGCCUGAUGACAGUUUGUGGCAGUGCUCUUUGUCAAUAUCAUCAUUUCCUGGCAAAUGGGCAGGAAACCCCUAUCUCUUACCACCGUCCACCGAUCCUCUUCUUGAUUACUUAAAUAAAUGACGUAAUCGAAACCCCCUGCCUGUUGUUCCUGUUUGAAACGUAUUCCUUCCUUCUGAAGGAAGUGGCUGUGUCUGGUGGGAUCUGAAAAUAUGCCGCGGCUGUCUCUCGGCCCACAGAACCACUCUAUCUCUUAUUCACUUUUAAUGCUUUUUGCUAACCUACCAUUUUUCAUCUGAUCCCCCAUCUUUAAUAAAUACAAUGAACAGUUACAAAAUA